UACGGAGGGGGCUAGCGUUGUUCGGAAUUACUGGGCGUAAAGCGCACGUAGGCGGCUUUGUAAGUUAGAGGUGAAAGCCCGGAGCUCAACUCCGGAACUGCCUUUAAGACUGCAUCGCUUGAACGUCGGAGAGGUAAGUGGAAUUCCGAGUGUAGAGGUGAAAUUCGUAGAUAUUCGCAAGAACACCAGUGGCGAAGGCGGCUCACUGGCCCGGUACUGACGCUGAGGCACGAAAGCGUGGGGAGCAAACAGG
rnacentral:rRNA from 1 species